AGAGCGGGUGGGAGGGUGGCUGGGGGGAGGCCCGAGCCCGUGUGGCUGUCCCUUGGUGGGACGGGAGCCAGGUGGCUGCUGCCACCAUUGUGCUUGCCAGGCCACCAGGCUUGUUUCUGGGGAGAUUCCAGCCUGGUGGUGGGGCAGCACCUGGGGGUUAUGAGUGGUGCUAAUGAUGAGGUGAGUGACUAACAAGUGAGGUAGGUCCCUGUGCCUGCAGGAGCCGGACCUGCCCACACCCCUCAGAAGUCAGCUCUGUGCAGUCCCUGUGAGCCCUGUCAGCCUUGGUUGGGUUUCACCUGUCUGCACACUCUUCUCCUCAGCCAGGCCAUGGGAAGUCUGGGGUGAAGCUGAGGAUGCCCAGUAUCAAAGGGAUAGCUGCGUGGCCUGAGGAGCAGUGUAAGAAGAUGGCUGGAAAUACGGCCUGCCUCCUGCUCCCACCUGAGGGUGGGCUGAGGAGGACACAAUGGGCUCUGUGGUUCCGAGAUGAGAGAGAAGAGUAGCAAAGGGGAUUAAUCAGGCUGAAGAAUCUGGCUGCAAGGCAUCCUGACGGUGACUGGAGCAGCCUGUGCUGCUGAACUGGUUCUUCUUCACUCAUCACAGCUUCAGGGGAGGUCUUGCAGGAAUCUAAGAACACUUCAGGAAAGAGCUGAACUCUGGGCUGGCUGCACAGAGCCCAGGGAGCUGAGACGACGGCAGGAAACCUACAGACCACAGCAGUGUUUGUAGUGCUCAGCCUCUGGACACAUCCUGGGGCUUCCUUAUGCCUCAAGGCUAGUUAACCACUUGAAUGAGGAGGGAGCUUUUCCUGCUUGCUCUUUAUUCUUUGGAUCCUCCCUGGACUCAGCCUGUGCUGGCAGCACUGUGAUGCCGCAGCAGCUUCAGGAACGCCUCUGACAGCCCCAGAGCUGCGAGGGAGCAGCUACUCUGCAUGCAAGGAGGAGCACUGCGUCUCCUGAGCCCUCACUUUAAGUCAUGCAAACGGUGUUUGGAUGUUUCUGAGCCUUGAAGUGCCUCCUGUCUCCCACCUCACAUCCUUCCUGACAGCUCCCUGCUCCUGUGCUGGAGGAUGUGUGCUGACAGAGGAAAAGUACUGUUGUCUUCCUGAGACCCUCCAAUAGGGAGAGCGGGUGUUGGGGAAUAGAUUUGCAGGGCAGAGGGCAGGGAACAGCUCCUGAAUGUGCCCCCACACCAUUCCGAAGAAGCCAGUACUGAGGGAUAGGGAAUUAGUUGGUUCCUUUUCACUCAUAGCCCUCACUGAGCAAUACCUGCAUGGGAUAUUACCACCCCACCAGCUCAAUGCAUCCUGGGGCACCUCCAUCUCCCGUGGGAGUGGGCUGGGCACGCUGGGCAUGAGCUGCUGCCACAAGAGUCUGCUCUGUGCCAGCAGCAAGCGGCCACCAUCUGCAGCAGGGAGGGAGGCACAGAGAGGGGAAGCGAGCUGCCAUUUCCCAUUGCCAUCGUGGUCAUGCAUUUAGUACUGCCAUAUGAGAUACCCUUUCCACUGGGAACUGUCGCCCUGGGGUGUGAGCUGUACAGUGCCUGCAUGGAGCCAGGGUGAGGUGUGCUAUGUCCCAGUCAAACCUGAGGCAGCAGCCCCAUGCUGUCUCACUCACACUCAUCAGUUGAUCCCUCAACCCCAGCAGCCUGCCUUUGGUGCUUCCCUUCUGUGUAGGAACUGCUGAGUCACGGCCUGAACCACUGAUGGAUCACCUGGGGAAAGGACCCGGUCAGCCCUGGGAGCACAGGUGAAGGCAAUUCAUGUUUGUGACCAGAAGGGGUGGAGCCUGACUGCACCU